CGGGGCUUCGCUCUCCCCGGCCCACCACCUCCCCACCUCUACCGUCACCGAACCCGAGCCCAGACCCCGAUGCCGCACCACCAAAACUGCCCAGCUCGGAUCCCUGCCGUCGCCAUUCCUUCUUCCCCAGACUCGCCCCCAAUCCCGGCAUCCAGCUCCGAUUCGCGCCCCCAAUCCUAGCACCAAUUCGCCGCUCCCACCUUCAGACGCGACCCCAAUACCGGCGCCCAGUUUGGAUCUUGGCGGCACCGCAUCAACCUAUCGUCGGCGCUCCUUCACCCAAGAGACGCGUCCCCAACUCCGGCGCCGUACCACCCCCAUCCUGGCGCGCCUCGGUCUCCCGUCGGUUUGUCUUCUGGUUCUCUCCACUUUUCUGGAUCGGCGGUGACGGCCCCCAAGAUCCGCCGAAGCCGUCAACCUCAGGGCCGCCCGAUCGCCGGAGAAAAAGGCGGCUGCGUCCACCUCGCCCUCGGUGCCGCCCGAUCGCCGGAGAACAAGGCGGCUGCCGCGGCCAAAGACGCGGCACCGGCGCCGCUCGCUGCGCCUGCUCCAUCUCCCUCGCCAGUAGGGCAGAGGAUCUCUAGCUGGCAGGCCACGGGGUCCGUGCGCGCGCCCAUGCGGGUCGGCAAACUGGCCUCCGCCAUGCCUUCCUCGAGCAGAUCCACCUCCUAGCGCGGGGCCUCGGGCGCCAAGCAGCUCACGCGGCGACUGCGCCUGCAAGAAGACGCAGACGGAAGUGGCGGCAGGGAGGAGGACGAGCGCCUUCUGCUUCUGCUUAUUAUGCAAAUCGAUGAGUGUAUCAUCAGCGUCAGUCCAUCGCUCCCACUGGCACCGGCGACGGCCCACUCAGCCAGGUUCAGCGUCGAGUGUCUGAAAUGGCAAGGUCAACUUGCGGGGUUGCGGCGCCUGGCUCCAUCAUCAUCACCUGAAGCUGUCGAUUUCUUCUAAGGUUUCCUCCCUGCUGCUCGAAGCCCUUCCAUCCCCUCCUCUAUCCUAUUCCAUGUUGCUCGAUUUCUCAUGGCUACUUGACUACUAGUGUAGUGUUAGGGAUUUUCUCUUUUGGAAUAGGUCCAGCUGCCGGCGCACGUCCCUAACCUAGGAGCUAGACGCAACUAGCACCCCCAACCUCUGCAGGCUCUGAUCUGAAUACAGUUGUAGAACAUCCUCUUUUGAGCUGCUGAGUGCCAGGACCAUCCAUUCAACCCAAGAUAAUAUUGACAGUGUUUUGAAUUUUGAAUUAGCUAAAUACAUCGACUAUGCUAUCCAAUAAUAGUUUCUGCAAUUGGAUUUAGACUUUUUGUUUCUAAUGGAUUACCUUUGAAACUAAACUUUUUUACUUACAGAUUUUCUAGCUGUUCAUUUCGAUCAUUCAUCGAUGAAGAGGUGGUUCUGCCGAUGUUGUGUUUUUGAGCUCCCUAUUUAAAAGAUUGUGUGUUUAAUCUUGCAUGCACUGGAUUUUAUCCUCUUAUAAGCAGAUCUGUUGGCCCCUCCUAGUUUAAUCUGGAUCUCCUGUUUUAGCUAUGCUUUUUCCCCAACAGUACCGUUGAUGCAAAAAGAAUCUUUAUUUUUGUCAGGUUAAGAUUCAUUAUGCCAUCUACUAUGCUUCCAUCCUAUCAUCCCUGUAAUUAACUAGCACAUAAAUAAGGAAAAUUUUAGCAGUUCAAUGCCUCUAUCAUUGAUGUAUCUCUGGUUUACUACCCAAUACCCAAUAAUGUUCCAAAUUAAUCUACUUAUACAGUACCACGAAUGCUUCGUUAUAGAAAAUGUGAUUUCUCAAACUGAUUAAAUGCCAAUUCUUUUAGUCGGCUUCUUUUAUAGAUCAAUUAUUCUUUGCUGAUCAAUUUCUGUGAGCUGACGAUUCCGUGGAAGUGAAUGCUGGCUGAAAAACUAGGCAUGUACAUGCAUCUGAUUUUUUUUUUUGAAAAUUUGAUCAAUUUGCAAUAUACUAAGCACAAUUACAUUUGCAUCUACCCAUGUCUAUUUAUUUUAGGCAGAAUAGAUUAUGAGCCUGUUGUGCUUUUGUUUGUUUUAAUGCUAUGUAUAUGUAUUAUGCUAGUACAUUCCACAGUUUUUUUAGAACAGUAUAUUCCACAGUUAAGAAAAUAUCAGAUGACUAUGAGAACUCACAACAGCAAUUUAAUCAUGUUGAGCUAGAUUGGGUAUUCAAGUUGGCAUAUUUGCCAACCAUUUUACUUUCACCAUUAAAUUAAGCAAUCUCUGGUUCGUGGAAGUACAUUUGGAUUUGUGUAGUUUGACUUAAACAAUUUACAUCUUCAGUUCAGCUGGUGAACACUAUUGUUCAUGGAUCUUAUUCACGGUAUUGUUACAGAUUUAAGGUUCCUGACUUUUACUUUGCUUAGGACACAUUGCAGGUGUGAGAGCAUCGAGUAAUCUCUGCACCAGGAUCACAUUAGAGCAGAUUGGUCAUAACAAGCAAGUUUGACAUUUGUUUGCAUUAUGGAAGACAUCCAAACUCGCUGUUAUGUCAGAUGCUGGUGAAAGCUGAAAUAUCUCUGAGGGAAAUGUAGAAAAAUCUUGCUAGCGUCAUCGUUUAUAUCUUUCCGAGACAUACAUUUGUGUGCCUGUAAUAUGAUUUCCAAGGCAUCCCGGUGCAUAAGAUAUAUAAAUUCUUUCAUGUAUA